rnacentral:misc_RNA from 1 species
AAGUCGUAACAAGGUUUCCGUAGGUGAACCUGCGGAAGGAUCAUUAACACAAUUUUACUGUGAUAAAAUCCAUUGAGUUAUCGAAUACCCUUCGUGAUUCAAUGGUAUCCACCCCAUUAUUGACGAACUUUUGUCUAGAUGUUGUAAAAAACAUAGAGCUCGUCUUUGUGUUUUUCAAAACAUUCUAAACACCCUUUUUCUAUACCCCAUCACAUCUUUUAACCCCUUUUACAACAUGCCUUAGACUGAAAUGAAAAUUUCUUUAUUAUCAAAACAAUGAUAAAAAACAACUUUUAACAACGGAUAUCUUGGCUCUC